rnacentral:misc_RNA from 1 species
GUGAAUCAUCGAAUUUUUGAACGCAAAUUGCGCUUUCUGGUAUUCCGGAGAGUAUGCCUGUUUGAGGGUCAGUUAAAUCAAAAUCGAUCUUGUUGCUGCCUUUCGUGGUGCCGCGGCGGAAUUGGGUCGUCUUACCUUCGGUUAAGCGACUUAAAAUUUUUGCAUGAUUUUCGAACGUAUUUAAUUCGCUUACGUACGUUUGCGAUAUC